rnacentral:rRNA from 1 species
UUCCAGACUCCUACGGGAGGCAGCAGUGAGGAAUAUUGGUCAAUGGGCGCGAGCCUGAACCAGCCAAGUCGCGUGAGGGAUGACGGCCCUACGGGUUGUAAACCUCUUUUGUCGGGGAGCAAAUUCCGUUACGUGUAACGGAGUCGAGAGUACCCGAAGAAAAAGCAUCGGCUAACUCCGUGCCAGCAGCCGCGGUAAUACGGAGGAUGCGAGCGUUAUCCGGAUUUAUUGGGUUUAAAGGGUGCGUAGGCGGGCAUUUAAGCCGGCGGUCAAAUGUCGGGGCUCAACCCCGGCCUGCCGUCGGAACUGGGUGCCUUGAGUGGGCGAGAAGUAUGCGGAAUGCGUGGUGUAGCGGUGAAAUGCAUAGAUAUCACGCAGAACCCCGAUUGCGAAGGCAGCAUACCGGCGCCCUACUGACGCUGAGGCACGAAAGUGCGGGUAUCGAACAGGAUUAGAUACCCUAGUAAC